GCGUUCGUGAGUCUGUGUGCAGUAGAAGAAGACAUUUCCUUACACUGAUGGUAUCAGAGUGCAAGCUGAUAAUUGCUCAGAAAGAAAACAAGUGACGUUGUUUUUCCAGCUGGUAGAGCAAAGAAGAAGGCUAAGUUCAGUUCGUGGAACCCGUCAGAGAGUAACAAUGGUCACCAUCUCUGAACCAGACCCUGGACUCUCUGAGGAACCUGAGGACACGUCUUUGGACCGGGAGGAGACCAGGAAGAGAAGAUUUGAUCUAUGGUUGUCCAUCACUCUCAUUGUGAGCCUCGGACUGCUGAUUAUUCUCACGAUCUCCCUGCGCCUCAGUUCAGUGAUGCCCACGGAGGAGGAGGAGGCCCCCAGCA